rnacentral:lncRNA from 1 species
CUCGGAACAGGAACAGCAACGGGGCCUGGCCCGCGCCUGCCUCUGCCCUGGCGGGCAGAGCGGCGGCGACCGGGGCCUGGGAAGCCGCUCCUUCCCUGUCCCCAACAAGUUCUCUUUGCAUGCAGCGCGCGCGAGCGAGCGAGCGAGCGAGCGAAUAAAGUCCUGAGCCCACAGAGCGCCACAUUCACCCGGCACAGCACUGCACCCGGGAGGACGCUAGAGGGGUGACCGCGGGCCAGAAGAUGCUGCCUGGGGAGAAAGGAGUGCUGAGCGCCCAGCCGCCCUUCACGCAUGUCCUCCUGGCCCCACCGCAGCCCAGCAGUGACUGUCAUUCAGCACCUGCAUCCCAAUUUCUGGGUGCGAAAGCCCAGGUUUGGGAAGGUGGAAGCAUUUUGGGGAGGACAUAGAUUCACUGUUGUUGAGUGUGUUGUGGAGGAAGCUGCCUCAAGUUCCCUUUGAACUGUAAAUAAACCGAAGCCGUUCUGGUGGUGGAUUCACAGCAGUCCUCCGAGGGAAGGCUCCCCGUGCUGGACCAAGGCCACACGAGCUGCCCUGCUCUCUGACACGAGCCCUGGGG